rnacentral:hammerhead_ribozyme from 1 species
CUCCAGCUGACGAGUCCCAAAUUGGACGAAACGCACGUCAAACUUGAU